UACGGGGGGGGGCAAGCGUUGUUCGGAAUUACUGGGCGUAAAGGGCUCGUAGGCGGCCAACUAAGUCGGAUGUGAAAUCCCCAAGCUUAACUUGGGAACUGCAUCCGAUACUGGAUGGCUUGAAUCCGGGAGAGGGAUGCAGAAUUCCAGGUGUAGCGGUGAAAUGCGUAGAUAUCUGGAGGAACACCUGCGGUGUAGACGGCUUUCUGGACCAUUGCUGACGCUGAGACACGAAAGCGUGGGUAGCAAACAGG
rnacentral:rRNA from 1 species